rnacentral:tRNA from 1 species
GUCUUGGUGGCUCAGUUGGUAGAGCGCUGGAGUAUCGAUCCAGAGGCCGUGAGUUCAAGUCUCACCCAAGGCA